UUGCCCUCUGGAAGCUUUCCAAAAACUUGCAAAGAAGCUUGGAGGAGCUUUGUUCAUGUCGCGAUACAGGAGCACAUCCGUCCAUCUGUUGGGAGGUUGUAUUGCAGCAUCCGACGCCUCAUCUGGCGUAUGCAAUCCGGAUGGUCAAGUUUUUGAUGGCUCGUCUUUAAAAGGAGUGCACGAUGGACUGUAUGUGUGUGACGCCUCCAUCAUACCUUGCUCAGUUGGGAUCAAUCCGUGUCUCACUAUUGCUGCUGCAGCCGAUAAUCCAGAAUAGGAGGGCAAAGAAGUAUAAUAUUCGAUAUUUUGGGGAACGAGGGCUCAACUCAAAAUUUAAGAGCCGUGACGACUCAGAAGUUGUGGCAAAAGAAACGAUGUUGGAGGAAUGCCAUGCACAACUUAUCUGAAGUUGAGGUUCAAACGUGCACGAGCUGGGAAGUUCGUUCCCUUCUGCAAGGCGAAGUAGGCGGCCACAUCAUAUGCAAGAGUGUAGAAAUGGAGAAGAUGCAUAUCGUUCAUGGAGAAGUUGAAUUGUGCACAACAAACCUUAUACACAGUAUAUGCAUUAUCAUCUCCUCCUUGCAUCUUCAUCUGGUUCAAGAUAUGUUCUUGAAGGGAGAAAGGUAAUGAGCCCUUACCUACUAGCGUUAUACGCAUGGAGAGAGUUGACCACGUUGGACGUUAAACUCAGUGAACAAACGGGAGAUAAGACGACGAAUCUAAAAGGGAAGCUUCGCAUUUUUGCGCUAGAGCUUCUGAAAUGCAUGUGCACACUUGAGGGCAGAAGCAGGAUUGAGUUCUUGUCUCUUUUAACGCGAUCCCUCAUUAGGACUUACAUACUUCAAGCACCGCGAACAAGCCACGAGAGCUUCACCGCCUCAGAUUUCACUCAAAGACCCUAUCCUAGUAGCAAGAUUCAUGAAAUCAAGACAGGUGAACACAUCCACAUUCAAUAGCUGAUUAUGACCCUUUUUUUUUUACAAUUAUCAUUACAUUGGUAGAAGAUGACUUCACAAUCAGCUGCCAGCAAUGGCGAAGCCAUUAAUCACGAUGCUCAACGAAACACUAUUAUCCCCUCCUGCUACUCAAUGGCUACUCAACUGAAAGCUUUUCCCUACCAACUGAGCCAGAUGAUCUUGUAAGAACUUUUCUACAGGAGGGGCACGAUGUACUACUACGAACGAGGCUGCACCCCUUGAACGCCUCAAACGACUUCUCUAUUGAAGAUAUCGGCAAAAUAGACAUUCCAACUGGUAAAUUCAUACGCCCAUUUUUCAACCAUCACUCUUCCUAGCCAUAGCUCAACAUACAGUCUUUCCGUGCUGUAUGGGGAAUCCAUAAAAGUACACGUCGUUGCACAUUGCGUGGGAGGCUUAGCCAUCCACAUUUCUAUAAUGGGAGGCCAUGUUUCAGCCAAGCACAUUGCCUCUCUAUCGUGUACAAACUCUUCAAUGUUCUUCAAUCUAACGACGUCCGCAUCCAUCAAAAUGUGGCUGCCCCUUAUUCCGAUCUCGAUGACGAUAAUGGGGAAGAACAAGACGCUGCAUCUCUUACAAACAUCAACCACGAGCAUCACACAUCGCCUCCUGAAAUCCAUAGCACGCCUAAUCCCGCGCCAGGAAAGAUGCACAUGUGAGGUCUUCUCAGGUAUAUUUGGCAACACAUUCUGGCACGAGAACGUCAGCCACGCGACACAUCACUAGAUGAGCAAGGAGAAUCAGACAAAGCUUCCGAUGGCAGGAUUCUCCCACCUGAGAAAGAUCUGCAACGCCGGCUUCAUAGUGGAUAGCAGCGGAGGCAACACGUACCUCAUCCACCCCGAGAGAAUGGUGCUGCCAACGCUGUACAUAUCAGGCAAAAUAGUGAUCCUCGUGACUCCAGAAACUUCUUUUCUUCCUAAUAAGUACAUGAAGCUGCAUCGUUAUAGGCAUGAGAGGGUGGUGGUCGAUGGCUUCGGCCACUCUGACCUUUUGAUCGGAGAAGAAUCGCACGAAAGAUUUUUUCCACACACUCAGAGGCAUAUCGAGUUGGCCGAAGACGAGCAAGAUUAGUUGAGGAAAAGGCACAGAAACUACGAGGCCGUAGCAUGGAGUGAUGAUCCGUAUAAACAGGGGCGGACGCAAAAAUAAAUAACGAUAAGGGCUAUGAUUUAUAAAUUUUAUUUUAAAGUAUAUUUUUGGGUGUUUUAGCUUAUUUAUAAGGGCUUUUAUAUACUAAUUUGCCUUAAAUUUAGAUAAAUUUUAAAUAUUUAUAAAAGAAAAAAGAUUAAAAAACCAUUUUGUUAAGGGCUUUAGCCCCACCCUAAGUAUAUAUGGGUCC